rnacentral:tRNA from 13 species
GGCGGCGUAGCUCAGUGGCUAGAGCAACUGAUUCAUAAUCAGUGAGUCAUGGGUUCGAGUCCCAUCGCCGCCACCA